rnacentral:rRNA from 1 species
UACGUAGGUGGCAAGCGUUGUCCGGAUUUACUGGGCGUAAAGAGCGCGCAGGCGGUCGUACAAGUCGCGUGUGAAAGCCCCCGGCUCAACUGGGGAGGGUCACGCGAUACUGUUCGACUCGAAGGCAGGAGAGGGAAGUGGAAUUCCCGGUGUAGUGGUGAAAUGCGUAGAUAUCGGGAGGAACACCAGUGGCGAAGGCGGCUUCCUGGACCGACACUGACGCUGAGGCGCGAAAGCUAGGGGAGCAAACGGG